rnacentral:rRNA from 1 species
UGGCUCAGGGCGAACGCUGGCGGCGUGCCUUAGACAUGCAAGUCGAGCGGUAGGCGUCCUUCGGGGCGCCGAGAGCGGCGAACGGCGGAGUAACACGUGGGUAACCUGCCCCGAAGACUGGGACAACUCGGGGAAACUCGGGCUAAUACCGGAUGUGGAUGCGCGGGCUUCGGUCGGCGCAUCUAAAUGGGUUUCCGCUUCGGGAUGGGCCCGCGGCCUAUCAGGUCGUUGGUGAGGUAACGGCUCACCAAGCCUACGACGGGUAGCCGGUCUGAGAGGACGAUCGGCCCGAGGGGCACUGAGACACGGGCCCCACUCCUACGGGAGGCAGCAGUCGGGAAUUUUGGGCAAUGGGCGCAAGCCUGACCCAGCGACGCCGCGUGGAGGACGAAGCCCUUCGGGGUGUAAACUCCUUUUAGUGGGGGACGAACGCAGACGGUACCCACAGAAAAAGCCCCGGGCUAACUACGUGCCAGCCGCCGCGGGUAAC